AUUGAACGCUGGCGGCAGGCCUAACACAUGCAAGUCGAACGAGUGGCAGACGGGUGAGUAAUGUCUGGGAAACUGCCCGAUGGAGGGGGAUAACUACUGGAAACGGUAGCUAAUACCGCAUACCAUCGGAUGUGCCCAGAUGGGAUUAGCUAGUAGGUGGGGUAACGGCUCACCUAGGAGACGAUACCUAGCUGAUCUGAGAGGAUGACCAGCCACACGGUAACUGAGACACGGUCCAGCCUCCGACGGGAGGCAGCAGUGGGGAAUAUUGCACAAUGGGCGCAAGCCUGAUGCAGCCAGGCCGCGUGUAUGAAGAAGGCCUUCGGGUUGUAAAGUACUUUCAGCGAGGAGGCGUUACUCGCAGAAGAAGCACCGGCUAACUCCGUGCCAGCCGCCGCGGUAAUAC
rnacentral:rRNA from 1 species